rnacentral:rRNA from 1 species
UACGAAGGGGGCUAGCGUUGCUCGGAAUCACUGGGCGUAAAGCGCACGUAGGCGGCUUUUUAAGUCAGGGGUGAAAUCCUGGAGCUCAACUCCAGAACUGCCUUUGAUACUGGGAAGCUCGAGUCCGGGAGAGGAGACUGGAAUUCAUGGUGUAGCAGUGAAAUGCGUAGAGAUCAUGAGGAAGACCAGUGGCGAAGGCGGGUCUCUGGACAGUUCCUGACACUGAGACACGAAGGCCAGGGGGGCAAACGGG